rnacentral:rRNA from 1 species
GAUGAACGCUGGCGGCGUGCCUAAUACAUGCAAGUAGAACGCUGAAGGAGGAGCUUGCUCUUCUGGUUGAGUUGCGAACGGGUGAGUAACGCGUAGGUAACCUGCCUGGUAGCGGGGGAUAACUAUUGGAAACGAUAGCUAAUACCGCAUGACAACAGUUAUUGCAUGAUAACUGUUUAAAAGGGGCAACUGCUCCACUACCAGAUGGACCUGCGUUGUAUUAGCUAGUUGGUGAGGUAACGGCUCACCAAGGCGACGAUACAUAGCCGACCUGAGAGGGUGAUCGGCCACACUGGGACUGAGACACGGCCCAGACUCCUACGGGAGGCAGCAGUAGGGAAUCUUCGGCAAUGGACGGAAGUCUGACCGAGCAACGCCGCGUGAGUGAAGAAGGUUUUCGGAUCGUAAAGCUCUGUUGUAAGAGAAGAACGAGUGUGAGAGUGGAAAGUUCACACUGUGACGGUAUCUUACCAGAAAGGGACGGCUAACUACGUG